CAGUAGCCGCGGUAAUACGAAGGGUGCAAGCGUUACUCGGAAUUACUGGGCGUAAAGCGUGCGUAGGUGGUGGUUUAAGUCCGUUGUGAAAGCCCUGGGCUCAACCUGGGAAUUGCAGUGGAUACUGGGUCACUAGAGUGUGGUAGAGGAUAGUGGAACUUCCGGUGUAGCAGUGAAAUGCGUAGAGAUCGGAAGGAACAUCUGUGGCGAAGGCGACUAUCUGGGCCAACACUGACACUGAGGCACGAAAGCGUGGGGGGCAAACAGGAUUAGAUACCCGCGUAGUCCCUGUCUCUUAUAC
rnacentral:rRNA from 1 species